ACGUGAACGAGUUACAUUUUUACAGAAUCCUUUUUUUAUGAAAGAGUGAAAAAUAGUAAACUGUAUAGGGCCAAUACCAAUACAUUAAAGGUAUUGCACACUCAGCCUAUUUCCCAAGUAACAAUACCCUUUGAAUGACCAAAACAUCAACCAUAAUAUUUUCAUGCUAUUAAAAUGCUCAGAAUUUAAGAAAUUGUACCUUUUCUCUCAUCUCAAACUAGCAGGAAGCCUGAAAAAAAUAAGUUGAGUAGGCAGGGAGCAGAGCCGGGUUGCCAUGUCUGCAGUUUUCAGGACUAUCCAGAAGUUCACCUAGGCGGUCCCAAAAAAGGCAGAAAAGCCGGUCUUGUUCUCCCUCUACCCCAGCCCAGGAUGAAUUUAAUGGGGACACGCCUAGACGGUGGCAAUCCAGGUAUUCAACUGGCCGUUCCAGAUGCUCUCCUUUCCCAAUUCACUUCACUUCACAGAAAUCUUAAUCGGCUAACCGGUCAAGUCCUUAAGAAGGUUUAUUCAAUGGUUUUGAAUGUUGCACAAUCAUCCAGAGCUUCUACUAGCCAGUCCCACCUCCAGAGCACAGACGUUCUCCAUAUCCAUCCUGUUACUCUACCAGACAAGAUUCAUCCAGGGCUUCUACUUGCCAGUCGCAACGGAGCCAAGAGCAUCACAGCGCUCACCCUCACAUUCCCUCCGCAAGACCAGAUCUGUUUUCCCAUGAAUAAUGCUAGCAGUGGAUUCUUCCACGAAAUGUGUACCUUUUUGAUUAUCUGAUAUUUUAUGUAUAAAUGAUGCACUAAUUCAAAAGGCACCUAUUUUGUGGAAUGACUCAAAAUUGGAUCUUGUGUUGAAGUUAAACACUGAAUCCAUUAGAACAUAGAAUAUUAUUGAAAAGUUCAACUAUAUGUAUUAUUGCAAGUCAAAUUUCACUUAYUUGCGAAUAACAAUCUUGUCUGUCAGGAUCCUCUURCGUGUGACAAYCCCAUAUUUCCAGUGUCAACAAAAUGUUCUCCUUUCAGAAGUGUGUCCUAACUMAAUUGGAAAUAUUGGAGGAGGUGAAAUGUGUUGAGAGCAGAGCCCCAAGACUUGAGUUCCAUGUCAAGAGGAUGGAGACGGAGCAAGACUUUGAGAAGCAGCUCCAAAGUGUGUAUGCGCAGAAUCUGAURUUGAAAUGUAUUUAUUUUUGACAUUUACACUGUAGAUUUAGUCAGCAUUUUUCACACUACUUAAAGCGAUACAAUUAGUUAAUUCCACUCUUACAAGCACUCUUUUUUUUUUUAGGUAGUCAUACUGAGACAGUGGUUACUCAAAUCAAAUAAAUAUUUGACACAUGCGCCAAAUACAACAAUGGCUUACAGUSAAAUGCUUACUUACAAGYCCUUAACCAACAAUGCUKUUUU